rnacentral:rRNA from 1 species
AGCGAACGCUGGCGGCAGGCCUAACACAUGCAAGUCGAACGAUCCUUCGGGAUAGUGGCGGACGGGUGAGUAACACGUGGGAACGUACCUUUAGGUUCGGGAUAACUCAGGGAAACUUGAGCUAAUACCGGAUGUGCCCUUCGGGGGAAAGAUUUAUCGCCUUUAGAGCGGCCCGCGUUAGAUUAGCUAGUUGGUGAGGUAAAGGCUCACCAAGGCUCCGAUCUAUAGCUGGUCUGAGAGGAUGAUCAGCCACACUGGGACUGAGACACGGCCCAGACUCCUACGGGAGGCAGCAGUGGGGAAUUUUCCGCAAUGGGCGAAAGCCUGACGGAGCAAUACCGCGUGAGGGAUGAAAGCCUGUGGGUUGUAAACCUCUUUUCUCAAGGAAGAAAUUUUGACGGUACUUGAGGAAUAAGCAUCGGCUAACUCUGUGCCAGCCGCCGCCGUAA